CCAAUUCCAUCAAGUUAUGUGAACCAAACAUUUAAAUGAUGAAAUUCAAAUUCCAAUUUCCCUUAAAUUUCUUUAAUUUUUUGCGAACCGAACCCUUAAAAUUUUUAAGAAAUCUUUAAGUUCCGUUCCGUACCCGCUCCUUAUGAAAUUUUAUCCCUUUCAUCAUUCCCACCCACCCCCAAAUUAAUGCACCUUAACCCUAAAUCUACGCCUUAUUUCACCCCACCCAACCCAAUUGUCUGUCUUCCUCGCCUUAUUUCUUCCAAAUCACAAUCUUUUUGUUCAGGCUGUCUAGAUCGUUGACCCACUACUACCAGAUCCCUCAAUGGCGACUUCUUGACAUUUGUAGAAAUUCGAUUUGGUCUUGUGGAAGGAUUGUAAUUUGGGAGGUUAUAGUUGCAUCUGCACGUCAUUUUAGUAUAUCACAAUUCACAAUUUUUAGUUGUCUUUUUUUUUAAUUGUUUAUUAUAAGAUGAUGGAUAAUAUCAUUAUUAUUAUUUAUAUGCACAGGUGGUUUUUACUUUAUGAUAUUUCUUAAUGCUCUGCUUCUUUCUGUUCAUUGCAUAGGUUGUUUCUGAAAUAAUAGUUCUAGUUGUUGCUCUUGAUCUGAGGAGGUAUGAAAUCAUAUUCUGGUUCUACGAUCGAUGCUUGGAUGGUGUGUUAAAAUGAUUGGUUUUUUCAUGUCAACAUUUUUGGGCCAAAAGUUGGAACUCUUAGAUUUCAUCACAACAACCACAAACUUGCAAGAUGGUUCAAGAUACAGCUCUAGCUUUAUUAAGAAAUGAAUUCAAGAUGUUAAAGUUUUACACAUUUAUUCCUUUAUAAUUGUAGAACUUGUUUAUACUUUAAAGAAAUAUAUACCUUUGUGUUUAUAAAAUUUGUUGGUUUUAUU
rnacentral:lncRNA from 1 species